rnacentral:rRNA from 1 species
GAUGAACGCUAGCUACAGGCUUAACACAUGCAAGUCGAGGGGAAACGAUAUUGGAAGCUUGCUUCCGAUAGGCGUCGACCGGCGCACGGGUGAGUAACGCGUAUCCAACCUGCCCACCACUUGGGGAUAACCUUGCGAAAGUAAGACUAAUACCCAAUGAUAUCUCUAGAAGACAUCUGAAGGAGAUUAAAGAUUUAUCGGUGAUGGAUGGGGAUGCGUCUGAUUAGCUUGUUGGCGGGGUAACGGCCCACCAAGGCGACGAUCAGUAGGGGUUCUGGGAGGAAGGUCCCCCACAUUGGAACUGAGACACGGUCCAAACUCCUACGGGAGGCAGCAGUGAGGAAUAUUGGUCAAUGGGCAGAGCCUGAACCAGCCAAGUAGCGUGCAGGAUGACGGCCCUAUGGGUUGUAAACUGCUUUUAUAAGGGAAUAAAGUGAGCCUCGUGAGGCUUUUUGCAUGUACCUUAUGAAUAAGGACCGGCUAAUUCCGUGCCAGCAGCCGAC